rnacentral:rRNA from 1 species
CCAGACUCCUACGGGAGGCAGCAGUGGGGGAUAUUGCACAAUGGGGGAAACCCUGAUGCAGCGACGCCGCGUGAGUGAAGACGGCCUUCGGGUUGUAAAGCUCUGUCAAUCGGGACGAAGAAGAUGACGGUACCGAUGAAGGAAGCUCCGGCUAACUACGUGCCAGCAGCCGCGGUAAUACGUAGGGAGCAAGCGUUGUCCGGAAUUACUGGGUGUAAAGGGAGCGUAGACGGCGACGCAAGUCUGGAGUGAAAGCCCGGGGCCCAACCCCGGGACUGCUCUGGAAACUGCGUCGCUGGAGUACGGGAGGGGCAGGCGGAAUUCCUGGUGUAGCGGUGAAAUGCGUAGAUAUCAGGAGGAACACCGGCGGCGAAGGCGGCCUGCUGGACCGUGACUGACGUUGAGGCUCGAGAGCGUGGGGAGCAAACAGGAUUAGAUACCCCAGUA